CUCACGGGCUGGUUGGCCGCGGGAUCCGAGUCCUCGCCAGCGGGUGCUCCCGCUCGCUCGCGGUUGCGCACGCCUCAGCGCGGUAACUGACGCGCCCCCCGGUUCGCCGGCCCGGCCCCGGGAUGGCCCCCAAGCUCUCAGACUCCGUGGAGGGGCUCCGCGCCGCCGGCAACCAGAGCUUCCGCAACGGCCAGUUCGCCGAGGCCGCGGCGCUGUACAGUCGCGCGCUGCAGACGCUGGCGGCGCAAGGUUCUUCGAACCCUGGAGAAGAAAGUAUUCUCUACUCUAACCGUGCAAUGUGCCACUUAAAGGAUGGCAACUGCAAGGACUGCAUCAAGGAUUGCACUUUAGCACUGGCCCUGGUUCCCUUCAGCCUGAAGCCUCUGCUGCGGCGAGCGUCCGCCUAUGAGGCUCUGGAGAAGUACCCCCUGGCCUAUGUCGACUACAAGACCGCACUGCAGAUUGAUGACCGCGUGACGUCGGCCUUGGAAGGCAUCAACAGGAUGAGCAGAGCUCUCAUGGACUCACUUGGGCCCGAGUGGCGCCUGAAGCUGCCCUUGACCCCCUUGGUGCCUGUUUCGGCUCAGAAGAGGUGGGAGUCCUUGCCCCCCGAAUGCCGCAGAGAAAGAGCUAAAAGCAAAUUCAGAGAAACCACAACGGCAAAGAGCAGAGUGCCUUCUGCUGGGGAUGUGGAGAGAGCCAGAGUUCUGAAGGAAGAAGGCAAUGAGCUUGUAAAGAAGGGAAACCAUAAGAAAGCUAUUGAGAAGUACAGUGAAAGCCUCUCAUUUAGUGACGUGGAGUCUGCCACAUACAGCAACAGAGCGCUCUGCCAUUUGGUUCUGAAGCAGUACAAGGAAGCAGUGAAGGAUUGCACAGAAGCCCUCAGGCUGGAUGGAAGGAACGUGAAGGCGUUCUACAGGCGAGCUCAAGCCCACAAGGCACUCAAGGACUAUAAAUCCAGCUUUGAAGACAUCAGUUGUCUCCUGCAACUUGAGCCCAGGAACGGCCCUGCCCAGAAGUUGCAGCAGGAAGUUAACCAGAGCUUAAACUAAACACCCAGAGGGGCAGCGGGAAACCUCUGCCUGAGCUCCCUUCUCUGUGCCUGCUCCUGGGACCUCGCCUGCCCCAGAGUGAGCUCUGAAGCAACUCAGAGACAGAUGGACGCCGCGGGACAGCUGGGAGAACCUGAGCCCGGUCCUCAGAACACCACUGCCCGUACCGACACCUUGCACUUGGAGCUGCAGAGAAUUAACCUGGAGGGGCUGGAGGGGCCAACCCCGAGGCCUCCCGCUCGCAGAUGUAGCCCGUACGAGCUGGCAUCAGCGGGAAGGUAAACUUCGUCCAGGCAGCAGCCUGCUAACUCCUCUAGGAGAGGUGUUCGUCGUGAGCUCUCCUCCUAUCCUCACGAGGCACCCUGCCACCCAGGCCCCAGCCCACCUUGGCAUUGAGGGACUCGGGGGACUCCAGCAUGAGCAGCAACUCUGAGUUGUCGAUUUCCAGCAGCAUGCCCGUGAUCUUGCCAGCCAGCUGGGUGUGGGCAUCGUAGAUAAGGGGGUACAGACGCUCACCUGUACAGAACACCUGGCUGACAUCCCAGCAGCCCCAGGGAGGCAGGGGGUACUGUGGAAGGGAGCAGUAAGGCAUGUGGUGGCAGGUUGUCCCAGAACUGCUCCUUCUGGGCUGUGUCACUUAGCCUCACUGGGAGGCUCUCUCCCAACUGUAAAGCACGCAGAGCAAACCCUGCUUCGGAGGCUAGUUUGAAGAAUCAAAUUUGACAUUCUACAUGAACGAAUCUACAUAGAGCCUGACACAAACUUGGUUGGUGUUUAAAGACUACUCUUGUUUGGGGCAGCUGGGUGGCUCAGUCGGUUAAGCAUCCGACUUCGGCUCAGGUUAUGAUCUCACAGCUUGUGAGUUCGAGCCCCGCGUCGGGCUCUGUGCUGACAGCUUGGAGCCUG